GGGGUACUAUUUACGAAGUACUAUUCACAAGGUACUAUUCACAAAGUACUAUUUUCGAAUGACUAUUCACGAAGUACUAUUCACGGGAUACUAUUCACUCAGGUAUUAUUCGCCCGGGAUACUAUUCAUGACAAAAAUUGAUUUUUUUCUGUCCAAAUUAUUUUUGAUACAAUAUUAUUCUUGAAUUUUACUCCACAAAAUAGUAUCAUGUUGAC
rnacentral:lncRNA from 1 species